rnacentral:rRNA from 1 species
GAUGAACGCUGGCGGCGUGCCUAACACAUGCAAGUCGAGCGAUCUUCUUCGGAAGAGAGCGGCGGACGGGUGAGUAACGCGUGGGUAACCUGCCCUGUACACACGGAUAACAUACCGAAAGGUAUGCUAAUACGAGAUAAUAUGCUUUUAUCGCAUGGUAGAAGUAUCAAAGCUCCGGCGGUACAGGAUGGACCCGCGUCUGAUUAGCUAGUUGGUAAGGUAACGGCUUACCAAGGCGACGAUCAGUAGCCGACCUGAGAGGGUGAUCGGCCACAUUGGAACUGAGACACGGUCCAAACUCCUACGGGAGGCAGCAGUGGGGAAUAUUGCACAAUGGGCGAAAGCCUGAUGCAGCAACGCCGCGUGAGCGAUGAAGGCC